CAAGAUUGGAGACAAGUCCUUUGUCUGCAGUAGUUAGAAGGUCAUUAGUAAUUUUCACCAGUGCCGUCUCUAUGAUGCUUUCUAAAUCCUGACUGUAAACUAUUGCUAUGU